UACGAAGGGAGCGAGCGUUGUUCGGAAUCACUGGGCGUAAAGCGUGCGUAGGCGGUUUUGUAAGUCAGAAGUGAAAGCCUGGGGCUCAACCUCAGAAUUGCUUUUGAGACUGCAAAGCUAGAGUAUUGGAGAGGUCAGUGGAAUUCCGAGUGUAGAGGUGAAAUUCGCAGAUAUUCGGAGGAACACCAGUGGCGAAGGCGACUGACUGGACAAUUACUGACGCUGAGGCACGAAAGCGUGGGGAUCAAACAGG
rnacentral:rRNA from 1 species